GCGGGCCCACUCGAUGUGAGCCGGCAACUCGCUCGUCGUGCUGCAGCCGGCGGUGCCGUCUCCUGACGGGGGCCGAACGCUGCCCGGCGCCAGGCCCCGCCAAUUAGGCUUCGAUCUGGCGGCGGCGGCGGCGGGCUGAGCGCGCGCCCGCACCGGCUUGUCGGGUUACGUCAGAGCGAGGCAGCUGAGGAGUUGCAGUCUGAGCCGCAGGGUAGAGCAGAGCGCAGGCUGAGAGGCGCUGCAACAAUAAAACCACGGGAAUUGGGCGAAAUCUGCAGUAACUGCAACAGAAUAAUGCAGCGCACGAAAGGGUAGAAGGUAUCCACAAAAGAAAGAAAUACAAUAGAACUGGUCCAUACAAUACCAUCAAGCUUCCGGUGUGUGAAAUAAAAGAACAGAUUGUGCAAAUAAAAAGUAAACAAAUAAUAUUAACUGCAGAAUCCCUGAAGAGUUCAAAUCUGGUCAUCUAUGACUGCAACACUGCACCACAGAUUGACAAGAGAAGCACAAAUAUGGAAGCUGCAUCUAAUGUCGUCAGACUUGGGAAGGAUCUUCAAUUUCACCAUUGCAAUUAGGAUCUUUUUCUUAAAAGAUAAAAUAUAUUUUGAUGCUUCCUCUGAGAACAAUAAAAGAACAAUAGUUCCAUGAAAAUGGUGCAGAAUAUCUUACUGCCCUGUUGCUGUUGUGUGUAUAGUUGCCAUACCCUUCCUCACUACUUUAUGCUGGAAUCUGCAAAGGGGAGAUAGGCAGUUUUAGUAUGCAAAUUAACUGAUGUAUCUAUUUUCAGUCUGAAUUGAGCAUUCAUUGCCCAGUAUCAGUUUGUAAUCUGUUCAAAGAAGAACUCGAAACAUAAGUAUCAAGAUUGUUCUGCAAGUUUAAGAUACAUAGUUCUUCCAUAUUCCACAAAAUCGGCCAGUGCUGGAAAGCAAUCCCUUUCUGGACAGCUUCAAAAGACUCAUCAUUCAUUUUGCCUUCAGUUAAUGAGGUACAGCCCACACUGGAUCAUCCAGGUUUCCCAGUUAACAAAAUUCUUUCUUUUUUCAGUAUUGAAAUCUUGUUGCUGUUUAAUUUUUAGUAGUGCCUUAGAUUUACUUGUAUAGUCUUAGAAACCUUGUAUACUUGAGAGAAAUUUUGAUCAUCUGCCUUCAGGAAAGAUGUAAACAAGGUUGAAAGAAUACAGAGAAAAUUUUCAAGGAUAUUGCAGGUAUGAAGAACCAGAGUUAUUGGGAAAGAUUGAAUAGGUUAGGACUGUAUACUUUAGAUCAUAGAAGAUUGAGAGGAGAUUUGAUAGAGGUAUACAAAAUUAUGAGGGGUAAAUGCAAGCAGGCUUUUUCUACUGAGGUUGGGUGGGACUACAACCAGAGGCUAUGGGUUAAGGGUGAAAGGUGAGAAGUUUAAGGGGAACAUGAGGGGAAACUAAUUCACUGAGGGUCAUGAAAGUGUGGAAUGAGCAGCCAGCACAAGUGGUGCAUGCAAGUUCGAUAUCAACAUUUUAGAGAAGUGUGGAUAGAUAGAGGUCUAUGAUCCUGGUGCAGGUUGAUGGGAGUAGACAGUCUAAAUGGUUUGGUAUGAACUAGAUUGGUGGAAAGGCCUGUUUAUGACUCUAUAAUUUGCUUUUAGACAACUUUCAAGGCUGUACUGCCAAUACCACUCUAGUCUUAGCUGUAAAUCAAUUGAUUGCAUUUGUACAUGGAAAAUUGCUGGUUUAUGACAUCAUAAUCUAUAUAAUUGCCCACUGAAACAUAUUUCCUCAUCAAAUUUUGGACCCAUGACCUAAAGCAUCUAUUAAAUACAUCUUCCCUUCCCUUGCAUUAGCAGCAUUCUUCAAAAACCACUUGGCCCAGAACUCUCUGGCUCUAGCUUCAAUCUCUCUCAAUAAAGGUUCAGUUUUCCUCAUUCUAAUUUUAGGUAUUUUUAAUCUCCUGGCCAGUUGCACCACCAUCUGUUAUGGGAACUGCAAAAUAUCUGACAGCAAGUCCCUAUAAAGGAUUGCAGGGACUGCUGAGAGGAACAUUGAGAUCUCUUUCCCACCCAUCAGAGAUAUUUAUCAGGAGUGUUGUGCAUGCGGGGCCCUCAGCAUCAUCAGUGAUCCCUUCCAUCCAUCCAAUGAUUUCUUUCACCCCCUGCCAUCAGGCAGGAGGUACCGUAGCAUUAGGACAAGGACUGUCAGAGCAGGGAACAGCUUCUUCCCGGCUGCGAGACUACUGAACUCCCUGCCACCACCCAGGAUCAUCACACAUGUUUUCAGAGUGCUAUAUGGUUUAUUUACAACUUGUGUCCAAAUCUCCACAAACUCCUAAUGAAAGACAACCACUGGUAUGCUUUCAUCAUGAUUGUUUCGAUAUGGUGGACUCAUGAUAGAUCCUCUGACAUGUUGACAUUCAGGAACUUGAAACUACUCACACUUUCUACCACUGACCCCUCAAUAGAAUUGGUGUGUGUUUUCUUGAUUUCCCCUUCCUGGAGUCUAAUUCCCUGGUCUUGCUGAGGUUGAGUGCAAGGUUGUUGUUGUAAUAGCACUUGACCCAGCUGAUCUAUUUUGCUCCUGUAUGCCUCUUUAUAGCCACCUGAGAUGUUGCCAACAACAGUGGUAUCAGUGACAUUUUUUUUGAGUUUUCAAAUGAUUACAGAAAGAAGAAAAAAACAUUAUCAACCCCUCCCCCCUAACAUAUCCCUACGGAAAGAAAGAAAAAGAAAGAGAAGAAGAAAGAAAGAAAGAAAGAAAAUGCCUGGAUAUCGGAAGAUCCCCACAUGCUCCACGGAGUUCAUAAUAGCUUUAGUAUAUAUAUUUAUUUCUUUCCCCAAAUAACCAUUAAUUUUAUCUUCGGAGCACCUAUAUAUUUAAUCCUGUCUUUUGUAAAUAAGAGUGCCAAUUUUUCAGAAAUGUUUCAUAUUUAUCUCUUAAAUUAUAAGUAAUUUUUUCAAGUGGAAUACAGCUGAAAAUUUCGUUCUUCCAACAAUCUAUACUUAAGUAUGAAUCCGAUUUCCAAGUAACUGCAAUAGCCUUUUUGGCUACUGCCAAUGCAAUUUUUAUGAAUUCUUUCUGAUAUUUAUUCAAUUUGGGUUUCGGUUUUAUCCCUUCAAUAUCACCUAAUAAAAAUAAUAUUGGGUUAUGUGGAA